CUGUGCCUGGGCCAUAUGGAAGUUCCCAGGCCAGGGAUUGAUUGACCAUGUACUAUAGCAGCGACCCAAGCUACUGCAGUGAAAAAUGCCAGAUCCCUAACCCACUGCACCACAAGAGAACUCCCUAGAACACCCUAUUUAAAUUCUUUUUAAAACCAGGAAUAAUGAAUUUUACCAAAUGGGUUUAAUUUUUGGUCAUUCAACUUAUUAACAUAGUGAAUUAUAUUAAAGGUUUUUCAACUAUCAAAUCAUCCUACAUUACUGAAAUAAAUUCCAUUUACUUUCUUUAUAUUAAUAAUUAAAUGCACUACAGGAUUAUAUUUAUGUGAUUUAUUUAGCAUUUUACAUUAACAUCCAUAAAUAACAUAUCUAUAUAUAUUUUCAUGGUGAAAUAUUUUGGCAGUUCAUACUUAGAAAAUUUUUUAUCUUUUUACAGCCACAUCCACAGCAUAUGAAAGUUCCUGGGCUAGGAGUGAAUCGGAGAUGCAGCUGCCAGCCUAUGCCACAGCCACAGCAACAUAGAAUCCAAGCCACAUCUGUGACCUAUGCUGCAGCUUGCAGCAGUGCCAGAUCCUUAACCCAAAGGCCAGGGAUUGAGCUUGCGUCCUCAUGGCACUAUGUGGGGUCCUUAAACCACUGAGGCACAAUAGUAACUCCAGAAAAGUUUUUAAAAUAUUGGAAUUUUCUAUCCUUUAAAAGUUUAAUUGACUUCACCUGUGACUCCAGUCUGGGCUGAUGUUUUUUAGAAUGAAUAUUUGGAAACCCCAGCUUCUCCCUUCACUCAGAAGGGAUAACUCUGAGGCAUGAUCUGUGGUUUUUCAUAAUCCCUAACUACAUGGGAGGCAGCUGCUCAUAGCAGGGACCUUCUCCAUAUUGCACCCUUAUGGGCAUCCUUCCCUUCCCUGUCUCUCUUCUCUACUUCCCAUCUAGUGAUUUCUUAGGUCAUCUUCCAAAUACACUGCACUGAAAUCUCUGUCUCAGUGUCUAAACCUGGAGCAAAGCAACCUAGACACUUUCCCAACAGCUCCAUAACAAAAUUCAUUUAAGCUUAUUACCAUUAAUUCUGAGUCUCAUUCAGAGUCAGAACAGAAAGAAAUCAGGCAUUGUGAGGUGAGAGUCAAUGAUGAAAAAAAGUUCUUUGUAGGAACAGUAUUUUCAAAUUCAAUGAUCAGGACAACUAGCUAACAAAUUGUGUCAUCAUUUCAUGAUUCAUUAUAACUGUUGAAUAACAAAGAUUUCCUAUGUUGGUAAAAAAUAUGCUAUUGUUAUGCUUUAAAAAAGAACAAUUGAAGAACACUAUGGCUGUUGUAAUUUUAAUUUGCCCUUUUAAAUUAACUUAUAGCAAAUCUGCAUUUGCCUAUACUUAAUCUUCGGAGUCUAAUAUAAUGUUCUAAAGUUUGAAGGAUUUUUAUGAUUACUAAUAACGUAAGUACUAAUAACAACUUGGGAUUUACAACUCUCUGUAUAGGUUGGGCUUAUUCCAAAUGAUGGAAACUGAUACCAAAGAAAAUCUAAGAGAAUAUCAAUACUUUUUUAAAAAGUCACAAUCCUAUAAAAAAGACACACUGAAGAAAUAUAUUAUUUACUAAUCUGUUAUUAAUAUAACAGACCUAAUCUGCUUUUAGAAGUUGAGUUUCUCUGGUGAUUUACUGGGACCUUAGUUAUACUGAAGGACUACUGUUUGCAGUACUUAUCAUGAGACACACAGGCAUUAAUUACACAGUCCAUCUUACCCAGUAGUGGUAUUGGCUAAAGAGGAUUCAGUGCUGUACUUACAUUUUAAGACUACCUUAUUCUUUCUGAUCAAGACAAGCUCCCUGCUGUGAAUACCUAUACAUCGAACGGAGUGAUUUUAUCUAAUAGAGACCUGAUUAUCUCAGGAAGGCAUACUUUCUUACUCUAUUUCAAAUGGAUAAGAUUUUUUUUUUUAAAUCAAACAACAUUUUUGGUGCACUUUCCCUGGGAAGAAAUUUACUUUUUCCAUGAUCAUUUAACAACUCUUUUUGGCAUCAGAUUAGUCUUAGAUACACAUCCUCCACCCAGUUUCACAACUCUCAAGGCUGCUUGUGGAUUUGGAAGAUUGACCUAGCCCAAACAUUCAUAUAAAGAAUGCCCUUGAGAGCAUAUUUUGAUUAGUCUGGACUCAAUUAAUAUCUGCUCUCUUCAGAUUUAAAUUUCACUCUCAUAAGAUAGCCAGAGACAAUUUUCCAAGAAAAAUAAUGUAAACCUUUUUAUUUGUAUUCUUAAAAAAAAAGAAACUACAUAUAUAAGAGAAAACAUACUUUGGAUAGAUUUUUGAAAACUGCUAUUUUUAUUAACAUGGAUUUGUUCCUUUUGAAAUUUGAAUCAUUAUUUGCAAAGUAUAAUUCUGAACUAUUAAAAAAUCCACUUUAGUAAAGUAUGGAUUUAACCUUUUGUUAACAGACUUAUUUAUCUUCCUUUAGGUCUUUAAGAAUACCAUCUAUCAUCAAAAAAAAUACAGUAAUAACAAGUGAUGGUGAGGAUGUGAAGAAAAGGAAACCCUGUAUACUGUUGGUGAGAAUGUAAAUUUGUGCAGCCACUGUAGAAAGCAGUAUGGAGGUUUCUCAAAAAAUUAAAAAUAGAACUACUCUGUGACCCAGCAAUUCCAUUCCUGGGUAUAUAUCUGAAAAAAAAAAAAGACACUAAUUUGAAAAGAUACAUGCAUCCCAAUGUUCAUAGCAGUAUUAUUUGUAAUUGCCAAGAUAUGGAAGCAUAUCAAUCCAUCAAUGGAUGAAUGGAUAAAGGUGUGUGUGUGUGUGUGUGUGUGUGUGUGUGUGUAUUCCACAAUGGAAUACUACUUAGCAAUAAAAAGAAUGAAAUUUUGCCAUUUUCAGUGAUAUAGAUAGACUUGAGGGUAUUGUGUUAAGUGAAACAAGUCAGAGAAAGACAAAUACUAUAUGAUAUUACUUAUGAGUGGGAUCUAAAAAAAUACAACCAACUAGUGACUAUAAGGAUAUGUUACACAGCACAAGGAAUAAUGCCAAUAUUUUGUAGUAACUAUAAAGAGAGUAUAACCUUUAAAACUAUGAGUCACUAUUUUGUACACCUAUAACAUUAAAUACUGUAAAUUAAUAACUAUAUCUCAAUAACACUAUACUUCAAUUAAAGACUUUUUUAAAUUGCCUAAAUUAAUGAAAGCCUGCUGAAAAAUUUUAAAGAAGUUUGGUAACUACAUUCUAUUUCAUGAUUUUAGAUAAAUUUUGUUCUGUUACAAAAAUCAAUGUAGCAUUUAACAUAUUUUUUUCCUUUAGAUAAUGUUCUAAUGAGAAGGCUUUAUGUGCAUUAUUUCAUUUUAUAACUUGACCAAGAUCAUCUGGCUAUUAAAUAGUGGAAUCAAGAGAGAAAUCCAGACAGUUUGAUUCCAAAAUUUAUGCUAUUUAUUAGAGUGUUUGUUUAUGAUACCCUUUCCAUAAAGGAUUUUUUUCCCAAGAUUAAUUUUAAAUCUGACCUGCAGGGAUACAUCAAAUGCAGUAAGAUUACAUAAAUUAGAAACAAACUCAGAAUGGAUAAGUAAUGAGAUCCUGUUGUAUAACACUGGGAACUAUACCUAGUCACUUAUGAUGGAGCAAAAAAAAAAAAAAAAAGAUAAUAUUCUAAGAAAGGUAAGUUUCUAGAGAAAAAAUUUAAAAUGUGGUGGUAAAUACCAAGAGCUAUUUUAUAAGGUCAGAGAUUUGGUUGUUACUAUACAAAAUGGUGACAUAAGUAAAAUUUGUCAGGAACAUUCACAUACCAUUUACUUACUCUUUUGGAGGAAGGGGACUCUGUCAUCUCAGAAUCUUAGACCCAGUACCAACCCUCAACUUGGGAAGGAAAGAUGCCCUAAACAAAUUAGAACUGGGGAUGCCAAUUGCACAUUUCACAAACGAGGUAACUCAGACACCAAAAGGACAAUGCAUUUGCUCAAUUUCCAGAGGAACCAAGUUAGAAAAUGGUACAUGUAUACUGAUUAACAUUCAGUUAAUGGGUCAUGUUGCAAUUCUAAUAAUAAAACAACUAUUAUAUCUGAGAAGUCACAAAAAUUAUUCCUAUUGUGCUAAAUUUCAUUAACAUAAUAAUAUUAAUAGAAUGUCCUAUUUUUUCUGUAAAGCCCUAUUGAAGGGUGACAUCUUUAAAAUUUAAUUUUAUAUAGUCUCCUCAAGCAAGCUGUCUCCUCUCAAUCCAGUCCAGUUUAGGUGCUCUUCCCACAUGCUUCCAUAGUUCCCUUUCUCCAUCAUGGUACUUUCUCUACCUUGAUUGUCUUAUGUCUUACCCAUCUCCUCCAGUGAACUCUAAACUCUUCGAAUACAGACAUCAAAUUUAUGCAUCUCUAUGCACUAAAAUCAUGUUAUUGACUCGAAUAAAAUAGGUGCCCAGUCAGUGCUAAAUGGAUGAAUUAAUGAAUAUUCAUGGUUCCAAGACCCCAUUAUUAUUGCCUACCCCUAAGAUCUGCUCACAGCUUGUUCUCAAGGUAAUCAAGAUUUUAGUUAAUAUAGGUUACCAUGAUGUUCCUCUUAAAGAUAUUUAAGUUUUCACUGGGGACAUAUAAGAGUCUACAAAAAUUCUGGUAAUGGACUUUCAGUCAUUGUAAUAGACUAUUAGGGAGGGAAGGAUGUACUUUUUUAAACAGAGAGACUCUCCAUAUCACAUCACCACUUAAACAGCCCACAUCACCACCACCCAGCCUUGGUGUUAUGCAGAGACAACAAACAGAUAUGUAUGCUUUCAGAGAGAUCCCGUGGGUCUGAUGAAUGCUAAGGUACAUGAAACCAUAUUGCUGUGAUUGGACCUGACUAGAUUAAACUUCCUUUUGGCUUGCUUUGCAAUGCUUCUGGUAUGAGAUGAUAUGAAAGAGAGAAGUAGUACAUGGCUAGUUGCAACCUUAGUAAGCAUGUGUCUUAUGGUUGCUGAGGCCUCCACUUUUUGCUAUUUUGAUUCUCACCUGGUAAUGAUUCCAGAUGUAUGACAUCUGAAAAAGACAU
rnacentral:lncRNA from 1 species